ensembl:lncRNA
AGCAAAAACAGCCUUUUCUACUACAAGCUCUAGUUUUAUAUUUGGGGUUCAAGUUUAUCACUGAGGUCUAUUAUAGUAUUUAAUAUUGUGUGAUUUCAGGUGUUGUGGAGCUAUACUAUAUGAGGUUAUAACAUUUUUGUUUUUGCUUUUAUCUCCUUGCCAUGGUCUGAAGAAGCCAUAUUGUUGUAAGGUUGAUGACAAAUGAGGUCAUGGCCUGUUUCAGUAUGAAGUGGGGGAAGGGGAAGCUUGCCUUCACCAAGAUCAAUCUGUACACUGUUGUCACAGAGAGUGUCCAGAAAACAUCAAAAGAAACGGGUCAAAUAUUGCAGCGGCCACCGCCUUUUGUUUAAAAUAUGCCCCAGCAGAGCCGUCGCAAGGAGGGUGAGAGGCCCUGUGCAAAGUUGACAUGCGAGGCCCUCUACAAUUUUGCGUGUGUGUGUGUGUGUGUGUGUGUGUGUGUGUGUGGUGGGGGAGGUUGCUGUAGUAAGGCAAGGCAAGUUUAUUUAUAUAGCAGAUUUCGUACACAAUGGUAAUUCA